rnacentral:rRNA from 1 species
CCUACGGGAGGCAGCAGUGGGGAAUAUUGCACAAUGGGGGAAACCCUGAUGCAGCGACGCCGCGUGGGGGAAGAAGCGCCUCGGCGCGUUAAGCCCUGUCAGCAGGGAAGAAAAUGACGGUACCUGAAGAAGAAGCCCCGUCUAACUACGUGCCAGCUGCCGCGGUAAUACGUAGGGGGCAAGGGUUAUCCGGAUUUAUGGGGUUUUAUGGGUGCGUAGGCGGUAUUUUAAGUUAGUGGGAAAACGUCGGGGCUUGACCUUGAAUGGCCAUUAAAACUGGAGUACUAGAGUACAGACGAGGUAGGCGGAAUAAGUUAAGUAGCGGUGAAAUGCUUAGAUAUAACGUAGAACCCCGAUAGCGAAGGCAGCUUACCAGACUGUUACUGACGCUGAAGCACGAGAGCGUGGGUAGCGAACAGGAUUAGAUACCCUGGUAGUC